rnacentral:rRNA from 1 species
UACGAAGGGUGCAAGCCGUUACUCGGAAUUACUGGGCGUAAAAGGCGUGCGUAGGUGGUUUGUUAAGUCUGAUGGUGAAAGACCCUGGGCGUCAACCUGGGAAAUUGCAUUUGGAUACUGGCAGGCUAGAGUGCGGUAGAGGUAGUGGAAUUCCAGUGUAGAGGUGAAAUUCGUAGAUAUUGGGAAGAACACCGGUGGCGAAGGCGGCGACCUGGUCCUUAUACGUGACGCUGAGGCGCGAAAAGCGUGGGGAGCAAACAGGG